rnacentral:lncRNA from 1 species
UUAAGGACAUCGGUCCUUCCUCAGCCUCAACCAAUUAUGGAGGUGUCCAGAAACUCGAAUACGUCACAGAUGCGGAGUUUAAUGCAUAUGUUCUGAGGCACAGGUCUGGAACACAACAUGUACGGCUGUACCCUCUUAAACAGGUCUAACAUGUAACUUAGACGAAUUAGCUUUGUACAAAAACCCAAAACAUACAAUGUAACUGUUAAAAGUGAAUGAUUUUGUUGGAACGUUUUAGCCCAUGUGAUCGUAAUAGACUACAGGCUUUUUAUUUUUGUUUUCUAUGUGUUUUUCCACCUAAGCUUCUACUAUGGUUAAUGAGUUUCUUACCUUUUUUUUGGAACAAGAGUUUUACUUAUGCAAUGGUUUAAGAUGGUCACUAUAAACUUUGUCUGGAAUAAAUACAAGACAACAACAAGUUUCCAAGGCUACUUCAGCCUUUAAUCUACGUUCAUAAAAAAACAUUGAAAGGGAAGAGCACAUCCAGUCCACAUUAACAUUUUAGGUAAAAUCAACAAAACCUAACGUUGUCUCUUCUAAGUUUCAAAACUCAAUAACGGAAGAGUAAGAGGAAGACAUUAGUACAUCCAGUCCACAUUAACAUUAUGUUAAAAUGCAAUCGUUUAUGAAGUUUAUAUAUCAUCGUGGAAACUUUGACAAUACAAAAAGUAUAGUAUAAGCAUCUUAAAAUAUGAAAUAUUUUUGUAUUUUAUUUGAAAAAUUAUUAUAUAUAUAAUCAAAAAUAUUUAAUGAACUUAUGAAUGAUACGAAAACAACAAGGAAGUUAAUUUAAAUAUAUUCUUAUGAAGGUACAAAGUGAAACAUGUUACAAGUAUGAAUUUGAUUUGGCAUCUCAUCUCUAUCUUUAUGACCGUCGUGAAACAUACUAAGCGGCAUGGAACACAACAUGUACGGCUGUACCCUCUUAAACAGGUCUAACAUGUAACUUAGACGAAUUAGCUUUGUACAAAAACCCAAAACAUACAAUGUAACUGUUAAAAGUGAAUGAUUUUGUUGGAACGUUUUAGCCCAUGUGAUCG